rnacentral:ncRNA from 1 species
GUUCAAACGAGGAAGGGCUUACGGUGUAUACCUAGGCACCCAGAGAUGAGGAAGGGCGUGGUAAGCGAUGAAAUGCUUCAGGGAGUUGAAAAUGAGCAUCGAUCUAGAGAUUCCCGAAUAGGUUAACCUUUUUAACUGCUGCUUAAUCCAUGGGCAGGCAAGAGACAAGCUGGCGAACUAAAACAUCUUAGUAGCCAAAGGAAUAGAAAGAAAAAUCGAUUCUCGUAGUAGCGAAGAGUGAAAUGGGAGUAGCCUAAACCAUGAAAAUGGGGUUGUGGGAGAGCACAAUAUAAACUUUGUGCUGCUAGACGAAGCGGUUGAGUCCUGCACCCUAGAUGGUGAGAGUUCAGUAGCCAAAAGCAUCAUUGGGUUACGCUCUAACCCGAGUAGCAUGGGGCACGUGGAAUCCCGUGUGAA